rnacentral:lncRNA from 1 species
CUAAGCCACUCUCUGGUCCAUGUUACUUCCCUUUUUCAGGUCAUCCAUAAACAAGUCUUGCAUUGCUUCUGUAAGACCCGAUCCUGGAUUCCUCAAUCCAACCAGACCGCGGCCUCACCAAACAAUGCAACCAAUUCCAUCUUUCAUAUUCAAGUUCAAGUGUUAAAUAAUUCUAAGUCUUUUUCAGAGUUUUGAGGUUGAACAUUCACACUUAAACAAUCAAGCAUCAACUAAUGAAAAUAGAUACUUCAUAGAUAUUAACCAAGGUUCAUACAUCAUUCAUCAUCCUAAAUAAUAGAAUACAUACUAGAAUCGCAUAAGUUCACAAGUUGCACAAUAGGCUACAAUAAUCACACAAUUUUCAGAAUCAACCCAAUCACCACACAUCUUCCCAUGGCCGCGGUCCUCAUGGUGCUUUUCCCUUACCACGGUCCAUUUCUGGUCCUGGAUCCAACACAAACAACCACACAAUCACAAGGUUAGAUUACAAAACAAGAAUCAAAUCACAUUGCAUGGUCGGAUCCAAUCUAGUCAAGAACAAUCAUCAAAAAUGUCAAAUCUGACCCCUUUAAAAAGAGAUCCAAAUACCAAAUAAAAUUCAUGAUAAUUCAUGAUAAUUCAGAAGAAAAAUAUUCCCAUAAACAGAUUCAAAAGAAUCGGCUCAGAUCAUAGUGGUCUCGGCCAUGAACAGCCCACACAAGAACAAGGGACUUUCAUGGGAAUUUGAUCAGGCCAAGGCCUUAGGAUUAAUGAAUCCUUUCCUGUAACAACAUAAAAAAUUCCAUAGCACAACAUAUAAGAAGAAACAGAGUAGAAGAAGUCAGAGUAAGGAGUAGCCAAUCGAUCCAAACCGGCCAGGCUCACACGGCCAUCAUCCGCGGC